UCGGCGCCAGUCAUUUGACUGUGCCAAGCAUAACCAAAAAAUGUUGGCGCGUGCCACUUAGUGUAGUUUGUGAAGUGCAACGGAUGCCACGCUGUUAAAGGGGUUGGAAGGCGGGGCCUUCACAACAAUUUUUGAAGAACUAAACAUCACCAAAAGAGCGAUGGAAUGCCUUCAGAUGGAUCAAAUAAGGCAUCACAUACCUAAAGAGCUGUUUGGCCAAGUAGUGGACGUGUCUAAAAUUUUGUUAGAGUCAAAGAACUCGAAACACAUUUUUAAACAUUACUGUAAGGAGCGAACAUUGACACUCAAACUAAGAAAGCUAAGCAGUGCAAUUGUUGCUGAACACUUAGUUUCAGUGAACAUUAAGAUUUCACAACAAAUGUUUUCCGAUGUCGCUGAGCAAAUAAUCGGCUUGUUUGACACAGAAAUAAAGGUAGAAUCAGACUUCGCUCGAUCAUUCCCAGGCAAGGAUAAACUACUCGUGGAUAACUGGGGUUAUUUUAAAACAAAACUCUGCAAGGGUAUAAAAAUAUCCCCAAUAUUUAAAACCAACAUAUCGAGCAAAAAUUGUUGUGCUUUCUUACAAAAGUCGAAUGAGGAGUCAAGUGGUUAGUCCAAAUUUAUAUAUUUAUCAAGAAAGAAAGAACACUUGGACGUGAAGGACGCUUUUUGCUGCCAGCCCUGUUGGAACCUUCUGCGCGAGGAAGAAAAAGUCAGGGAACCCAGAGCAAAAACUAUACUAUUGAAGAUGGAAGGAACGCAUUUUUCACCUGGAAGCAGACUCUUUCAAAGCCAAAUACAUUUACCAAUAUUGAAGUCGACUAAGCCUUCAAUUUAAUGAAAAGGUGUCAACCAAAAAUCUGUUGUAUUGGUGAUUCUCCGUACAUCUUAACCCAGUUUUUUGUACACGUCUCUGGAGUAUACUACGGGUUCAAGAAUAUUUUGGUAUGCAUUAAUGCAUGCUUCCAAAUAUUUCAAGUUCUUAAUAUUGAAUGCCCCGAGGAAGCAUCCCUGAUAUGGACCUUUAUACAAAAUUAUUUUUUUAAGAUAAUUCUCAAGAACGAUAUUAAAAACAGGUCGGUAUCAGAACUUUUAAACGAUCUUAAAAGUUAAUUACUUACAUACGUAUACUUGUAUUAUAAUAUUGUCCUGCCAUGCAAAUUUUAUUCAGCAUAUACUUAUAAUUUUUACAAUUAAUUUGCUUAUAAACCAAAGUAACAUAAAAGAUAAACCUAAAAAACCUAUACCUACAUUACAAUGUGAUCUUGUCAUGCAAUUUGAAUUCAGCAUACACUUAUAAUUUUGUACAU